GACGUAGGGCGCGAGCGUUGUCCGGAUUUAUUGGGCGUAAAGAGCCCGUAGGCGGCUUGUCGCGUCGUCCGUGAAAACCUGCGGCUCAACUGCAGGCUGGCGGUCGAUACGGGCAGGCUGGAGUUCGGUAGGGGAGACUGGAAUUCCUGGUGUAGCGGUGAAAUGCGUAGAUAUCUGGAGGAACACCGGUGGCGAAGGCGGCAUCCUGGACCGGCAUUGACGCUGAGGCGCGAAAGCCAGGGGAGCAAACGGG
rnacentral:rRNA from 1 species